UGUAAAAAAGCAGAUUUAUUGAGAGGGAACUGAGUUUAAUGUGAGGGAUGUUGGUACAAUGUUGACUAGACUAAACUAAAUAUUUAAUUCAUAUGUUAACAUCUAUGAUAAAAAAGUGAAAUUAUUAUUCCUCUUUAUGUCUUUGUGUGUGUGUGUGAACCUUCAGCUGCAGCCGUCAGUUCAGUUUCAGUUCAGUCUGACUGAGGGAGGUUUUUGUACGACGCUUUUUCACUGUGUGAACACCCACUGGCUGUUGAUGUAGUGUUCACUCUGACAGUAGUAAACUGCUGCAUCUUCAGUCUGGACUCCACUGAUGGUUGGAGUGAAACUAGAUCCAGAUCCACUGCCUGAAAAACGACUUGAUAUCCCUGAUACUAGAGUACUAACAGUAUAAAUGAGCGGUUUAGGAGUUUCUCCGUCCUUCUGUUGGUACCAGUGCAGAUAGUUAUUGUUAUAUACAUUCUGACUGACACUACAGCUGAUUUGUGCGGUUCCCCCCAGAACAGAGGUCACUGCUGCAGGCUGAGUCACUGUGUACUGUCCUCUGGACUCUGAGGAUACAGAGACAAACACAGAAAGCAGCGUCAUGGUUUUGUGGGCUUCAUUUCAGAGGGACAGAUGUUCAUAGAGGAGAGGAGUUGGAUUCUCUGGACUUUACCUGUGAAGCAGCAGCAGAGGAGAGUCCAGAUGAGGACGCAGAUCACAGUCAUGUUUCUGAUCAGGAGGAGGAGGAGUUCUGUGUCUUCUGCUGUGAUGAAGGACAGCUGUCAGUCAUCCAGUCUUCAACUCUCAGGACUAUAAAGUCUUCCAGAGCACUGGAGCAUGCUGCUGCUCAUGCAAACUCACUCUCUAUGGAAAUGAUUCCUAUGAAUGGACAAAUGCACUCAUCAACUCUGCUGCAGGUGUUGUGUCAUGUUAUGUUCAGGAAAGAAGGAGAGCUGAAAGAAGACACAAGUUUAGUCCAAAGGUGUUUUUAGAGGAGAGAGAGCUCCUGUCUAUGAAGGCCUUAGUUUCUGGAGUGGACCAUCUCCAUCAGUCUGAGGGUCACCUGAUCCACUACAGAGAGAGAGAUGAAAAAAGAGCUUCAAUAAACUUCAGCACAAGAGGUCACUACAGCUGACUACAGUUGAGAAGAUGAAACUGAUCUCAGCUCUUUCACUUCCCUCUUACUCCAGUAACCAUGGCAACAGACAGGCAUCGCUGCUUAACCAUGACUACAGACACGUUUCAGUGCUAUAACAGAAGUCCUUAGAACCUCUGAAAACCAUGAAAAUAAUAAAGAUUUAAGGUUUUCAAUUUUAUACACUUUGUCAAAAUAAAAAAAAAACAAUUAGCCGUCAGAAUGCAGCCUGCAGCUGUGACCUCUGCUCCGGGAGGAAACGCACAAAUCAGCUGUAGUGUCAGUCAGAAUGUGCAUAACAAUAACUAUCUGCACUGGUACCAACAGAAGGA